rnacentral:rRNA from 1 species
AGUACGUGAAACCGUUCGGGGGAAAACGGACAGAGCUCGUAAAUCCGGGCGACUGGAAUUCAGAAUCGACGGCCGUCAUCUUUUUUGUCGGACGUCGAUUCGAUAUUUCCAUCGUCUACUCUCAACCGAGAGUGUCGGACGUUGCGAUCCGUUUGUCGCCGAUAAUCGGGAACGCGUAUGCGCUCGUUUGCGUCGACGUUUCGGCGGCCGGCGCGACGAAAUACGUUUCCUCGAAUUCGGCGCAGACGGUACGUUUGUGCGCGGGUAUUCGAAAGGGCUACGUUCUUCGGAAUACGCUCUUUUCGACGCCGAUCAGCGACGAAUUUUCGGGCCUCUUUCCGACCCGUCUUGAAACACGGACCAAGGAGUCUAGCAUGCGCGCGAGUCGCGGGGUAUUCGAAAAAUUGUAGCCAUUUCGGUGGCGAACAGUUUUCGUCACGAUACGAAACCCGUGUACGUACGUUGUGCGAAGGCGUAAUGAAAGUGAAAGACGACGCUUCGCGCGUCGUCGAGGGAAGAUGAUCGACUGUGAAUACGUUUUGCGCGUUUUUUUGCCGCAACCAGUCAUCCGCAUUCCCAGGGCGUCCCGCACGUACGUCGGCGGCCGAGGCUCGCUUCGGUCGUCGGCGAACUGGGGCGCACCUAUAGCGUGCACGCUGGUACCCGAAAGAUGGUGAACUAUGCCUGGCCAGGAUGAAGUCAGGGGAAACCCUGAUGGAGGUCCGCAGCGAUUCUGACGUGCAAAUCGAUCGUCUGAGCUGGGUAUAGGGGCGAAAGACUAAUCGAACCAUCUAGUAGCU